GCCUACGGGGCGCAGCAGUGGGGGAUAUUGCACAAUGGGGGGAACCCUGAUGCAGCGACGCCGCGUGGGUGAAGAAGCGCCUCUGCGCGUAAAGCCCCGUCAGCAGGGAAGAAAAUGACGGUACCUGAAGAAGAAGCCCCGGCUAACUACGUGCCAGCAGCCGCGGUAAUACGUAGGGGGCAAGCGUUAUCCGGAUUUACUGGGUGUAAAGGGGGCGCAGACGGCGAUGCAAGCCAGGAGUGAAAGCCCGGGGCCCAACCCCGGGACUGCUCUUGGAACUGCGUGCCUGGAGUGCCGGAGGGGCG
rnacentral:rRNA from 1 species